AUCUGGUUUUCAGUUUCUCGUAACGAUGUCGGACAUCCAGACGUUACAGGACAUGAGUUUACCAAAAGAGAAAACGUACGGAUAAUGGUCAAUAUUCUGAGUAGAAUUAAUCAUACCUAUCUAUGUUUUCUACAUUAAAAGAACCAGCUCCCACGAGUCUUUAUCAUCCAUCAUCUCCAUCUGCAAUCACCUCGAUGUAAACAAACUUGAAUCAUCAAAAAGUGAAAGGAAAUGUUUUUAGCGAUCUGCAUUUAAUAUUUAAUUAUAGCAGUUUUUCAACAAUGAUUCAAAUUACGGCAACGCUGGUUUGUGUACAAAGUGCCGUUUUCCUUUGUAGCGAGGUAGUAGUAGUUGAAUGCUUGACUACGUUUUCCAAUCCGUCGCAUCCGGAGCAUCGAAUAUCACAGAGAAAUAUAGCCUGAAAAACCGUCCAUAUAUACUCUCGAGAAACGUAGUGCAGGUAGAGUUGGAACCGUAGACGGGAUUGAUGGCAGUGGACUUUACAGUUCAAAUAGUGCCACGGUAACCGCGCUGGCAAUCGACAAAAACAUAAGCAGCGAAUCGACAUCGCUGAAUACCAACAAUCAACUCAAGGUAUUUUUUGUGAGUCCCUGACCACAAAUACCCCGCCCACUUACCGCGGAGUUAUGGUUAAGUACUGCUACAAAAUUACCGCCACCACCCAACGAGCUGUUUCCACAGUGCAGGCCCUGCAUGCCCCGUUACGAGUACUUCAAUUGCCACCGAUUAACUACAGUGACGAAACAAUCACCCUGAACGACUUAACUAACGAGGAGCUCGCCCCGAGAAAUUUUUUCCUGGGCAAAAAAACCCUAUCAAACAUUGAGUAUGGUUUACAGUACAGAGCAUAACCGCCAGAAGACGAUCGAACUUCUGAACGUGAUUUCAAACUAACUCGGCAAAGUGGGUAGGAACAUUACACUCCAGCUGUGGCACUAUAAAACGCGUGCACCUUUCGAUAAAUUUACUAUGUGAAGAACGAGAAAUACCAAACUCCACAUCUACAAACAAACACACAGGAGAAAGAUGUACCAAGCGGAAGUAGAAGUAGGAAAAAUCUUCCCAAAAUAAUCGAUUGCACUGCGAUGAACAGAUCCGGAUAACCAGCAGUACAAAAACCAAUGGCGCAAUGCAAACUGAAUUGUUUGGACUGUUUCGAAUCACGAUAUGUCGGUUAAAUAUUCUGAUAGGAACCCCUGCUUCUGAAUUUUGCACAUUGUUCGAAGUUGUCGGUAUGCUGAAGGCUUGCCUCCCAUAGUGUGAAUAAAAGACGGAAAGGCAAACCCUGCCAAAAACUCAUAAGUACAUCUUUCCGAUACCACUUUUUAACAGGAAAUGCCGUCUAGAAGUCGUCCCAGUCAGAUGCCAUCAAGUCAUCAUCUCACCUGCUAUUUUCUUUCUUCGAACAUACCAACGAUGCGAGUAGAAAAUAUCAUAAUAUUUACUGAUGCAACAGUAGGGUCACAUUAUAAAGGAUUACAAUAAGUUGUUUAUCAAUUGACCGUUUUUGUUAUAACAUAAAUGUUAAAAAUUAAUUAGUGUUUUUCAUAGGAGCAAUUGCAAUUUUUCAUUUCAUAGUUGAAUUCAAGAGACACGAACGCCACAAACGUGGUAAAGUCUAUAAUUGGAGAAAAACAAAAUAGUUGAAUUCAAAAUCAGGAUUAAUUUAAGAUUUCAGGAUGUUCAAUUCAGGUUUGGAAGAUAAUUUUCUAAUUAAUUAAAUUUCUAAUUCCUUAAUCAAAAUCCGUAGACAAAUCAAUAUCCAAUGUUGCUUGUCCAACAUUUGAAUUUAUUGAUCCGUUGUUUUUUUUGUAUACAAAAUUGUGAUAUGGAUCAGUUCUCUUUAAAAUGUUUUUGGAAAUUGAUAGAUAAAAAAAUUGACUAGGAAGUGCAGAUUUAAUUUCCAAACAUUACUAAAAGUUUAUGUAAAACAUUGCAGGAAAAGUUUAUGAACGUAUAAAUAAUGCAAACGAGUUUUCUAGGCCGAUCUAUUCAUGCACGUUUGCAUCUCAUGAAGCUCUCAAAUGUUAACCA